rnacentral:rRNA from 1 species
AGUGAACGCUGGCGGUAGGCCUAACACAUGCAAGUCGAACGGCAGCACAGUAAGAGCUUGCUCUUACGGGUGGCGAGUGGCGGACGGGUGAGGAAUACAUCGGAAUCUACUUUUUCGUGGGGGAUAACGUAGGGAAACUUACGCUAAUACCGCAUACGACCUACGGGUGAAAGCAGGGGAUCUUCGGACCUUGCGCGAUUGAAUGAGCCGAUGUCGGAUUAGCUAGUUGGCGGGGUAAAGGCCCACCAAGGCGACGAUCCGUAGCUGGUCUGAGAGGAUGAUCAGCCACACUGGAACUGAGACACGGUCCAGACUCCUACGGGAGGCAGCAGUGGGGAAUAUUGGACAAUGGGCGCAAGCCUGGUCCAGCCAUACCGCGUGGGUGAAGAAGGCCUUCGGGUUGUAAAGCCCUUUUGUUGGGAAAGAAAAGCAGCAGGUUAAUACCCCGCUGUUCUGACGGUACCAAAAGAAUAAGCACCGGCUAACUUCGUG